CAGAGCGUAGCUAAACAGAAUAGCAUCUCCCUUACACCGAGAAGGCACCCGUGCAAGCCGGGUCGCACUGA
rnacentral:tRNA from 1 species